CCCUUAGAUGUUCUGGGCCGCACGCGUGCUACACUGAGUGGAUCAGCGGGUCAGGUUGCGCGAAAGCGUUUCCUAAUCUUUAAAUCCGCUCGUGAUGGGGAUUGACGGUUGCAAUUUUCUGUCAUGAACGAGGAAUACCUUGUAAGCGCGGGUCAUCAUCCCGCGCUGAAUACGUCCCUGCCCUUUGUACACACCGCCCGUCGCUCCUACCGAUUGAGUGGUCCGGUGAGGCUUUGGGAUCUGAGCGGAAAGAGCGUUUCGCUGUUUCUGCCCGGAAAACUCAGUCGAACCUUAUCAUUUAGAGGAAGGAGAAGUCGUAACA
rnacentral:rRNA from 1 species